rnacentral:rRNA from 1 species
GAGGGGUAGAGAGUGCUUGCACUCUUGAGACCGGCGCACGGGUGCGUAACGCGUAUGCAAUCUGCCCUCUACAGGGGAAUAGCCCAGGGAAACUUGGAUUAAUGCCCCAUAGUAUUAAGGAACGGCAUUGUUCYUUAAUUAAAGAUUUAUCGGUAGAGGAUGAGCAUGCGUACCAUUAGCUAGUUGGUGUGGUAACGGCACACCAAGGCUACGAUGGUUAGGGGCCCUGAGAGGGGGAUCCCCCACACUGGUACUGAGACACGGACCASACUCCUACGGGAGGCAGCAGUGAGGAAUAUUGGACAAUGGGCGARAGCCUGAUCCAGCCAUGCCGCGUGCAGGAAGACGGCCCUAUGGGUUGUAAACUGCUUUUUUACGGGAAGAAACACCUCUACGUGUAGAGGCUUGACGGUACCGUACGAAUAAGGACCGGCUAACUCCGUGCCAGCAGCCGCGGUAAUACGGAGGGUCCGAGCGUUAUCCGGAAUCAUUGGGUUUAAAGGGUCCGUAGGCGGGCGACUAAGUCAGUGGUGAAAUUCUGCAGCUCAACUGUAGAACUGCCAUUGAUACUGGUCGUCUUGAAUCGUUGUGAAGUGGCUAGAAUAUGUAGUGUAGCGGUGAAAUGCUUAGAUAUUACAUAGAAUACCGAUUGCGAAGGCAGGUCACUAACAACGCAUUGACGCUGAUGGACGAAAGCGUGGGGAGCGAACAGGAUUAGAUACCCUGGUAGUCCACGCCGUAAACGAUGGAUACUAGCUGUCCGGCGCACAUUGGUGUGCUGGGUGGCCAAGCGAAAGUGAUAAGUAUCCCACCUGGGGAGUACGUUCGCAAGAAUGAAACUCAAAGGAAUUGACGGGGGCCCGCACAAGCGGUGGAGCAUGUGGUUUAAUUCGAUGAUACGCGAGGAACCUUACCAGGGCUUAAAUGUAGUCUGACAGGAUUGGAAACAGUCUUUUUCUUCGGACAGAUUACAAGGUGCUGCAUGGUUGUCGUCAGCUCGUGCCGUGAGGUGUCAGGUUAAGUCCUAUAACGAGCGCAACCCCUGUUGUUAGUUGCCAGCGAGUCAUGUCGGGAACUYUAACAAGACUGCCGGUGCAAACCGUGAGGAAGGUGGGGAUGACGUCAAAUCAUCACGGCCCUUACGUCCUGGGCCMCACACGUGCUACAAUGGCAGGUACAAUGGGCAGCCACUGCGCAAGCAGGAGCGAAUCCACAAAACCUGUYUCAGUUCGGAUCGGGGUYUGCAACUYGACCCCGUGAAGCUGGAAUCGCUAGUAAUCGGAUAUCAGCCAUGAUCCGGUGAAUACGUUCCCGGGCCUUGUACACACCGCCCGUCAAGCCAUGGAAGCUGGAAGCACCUGAAGUCCGUCACCGCA